UAAUACGUAGGAGGCAAGCGUUGUCCGGAUUUACUGGGCGUAAAGGGGGCGCAGGUGGCCGAGUUGGUCCGUGGUGUAAGCUCCAGGCUUAACUUGGAGAGGUCUACGGAUACCGCUCGGCUUGAGGGCGGUAGAGGAGCACGGAAUUCCUGGUGUAGUGGUGAAAUGCGUAGAUAUCAGGAGGAACACCGGAGGCGAAAGCGGUGCUCUGGGCCGUUCCUGACACUCAGGCCCGAAAGCGUGGGGAGCAAACCGGAUUAGAUACCCGGGUAGUCCACGCCCUAAACGAUGGAUGCUAGAUAUGGGGGGUAUCGACCCCCUCCGUGUCGAAGCUUACGCGUUAAGCAUCCCGCCUGGGAACUACGGCCGCAAGGCUA
rnacentral:rRNA from 1 species